rnacentral:rRNA from 1 species
GCCUAAAGCGUCCGUAGCCGGCUCUGUAAGUUUUCGGUUAAAUCUGUACGCUCAACGUACAGGCUGCUGGAAAUACUGCAGAGCUAGGGAGUGGGAGAGGUAGACGGUACUCGGGAGGAAGUGGUAAAAUGCUUUGAUCUCUCGAUGACCACCUGUGGCGAAGGCGGUCUACCAGAACACGUCCGACGGUGAGGGAUGAAAGCUGGGGGAGCAAACCGGAUUAGAUACCCGGGUAGUCCCAGCUGUAAACUAUGCAAACUCAGUGAUGCGUUGGCUUAUGGCCAGCGCAGUGUUGCAGGGAAGCCGUUAAGUUUGCCGCCUGGGAAGUACGUACGCAAGUAUGAAACUUAAAGGAAUUGGCGGGGGAGCACCACAAGGGGUGAAGCCUGCGGUUCAAUUGGAGUCAACGCCAGAAAUCUUACCCGGAGAGACAGCAGAAUGAAGGUCAAGCUGAAGACUUUACCAGACAAGCUGAGAGGUGGUGCAUGGCCGUCGCCAGCUCGUGCCGUGAGAUGUCCUGUUAAGUCAGGUAACGAGCGAGAUCCCUGCCUCUAGUUGCCACCAUUACUCUCAGGAGUAGUGGGGCGAAUUAGCGGGACCGCCGCAGUUAAUGCGGAGGAAGGAAGGGGCCACGGCAGGUCAGUAUGCCCCGAA